UAAAUAGGAACUUAUAUUUUCCUCAUCAGGUCUGGAGACCAAAAGCUGUGUGCACACUGUGAAUUAAAAAAAAAAAGAAAAGAUGAAUUAGAAACAUGUAUAUCCAUUCUAACCUCUGAGAUCUGCCCCUGAUUUCCUUUCAGGACCAAUAUUUUGAGAGGUAUGUGUGCCUGUGGCUUUACGUAAGGUUCACAAAAAAGGCCAGGAGGCUCCUCAUUCCACUGAAGUCAAAGGCUUGGUCACCACGGGAGCCCUUGCCUCGAGAAGCCCCUUCAGUUAAUUCCAGGCAUACCAUUCUAUAUUAAGCCUUCUGCAAUCCAGCCUGAGACGGACACUCUGGGAGAAGAAGAAUGCAGCCAUGUCCUGAGCACUGUCUCUGAAAGAGGCUCCUUCUGAGAAGGGAGUUCAAAGGCAUCAAAGACCGUCGACGUUAUCAGAAAGCAGUCUCCAUAAUUUGAUGAAUGAACUGUGCACCUUAUUUGGAGGCAUGAGGCUCGGGCACAUCUUUCAGGACAUGAGGCAUCACGGGGCAGUGGUGAAGAUCCAGGCUCGAGAACGUUCAAAUUCUGACACUGCUGUGUGACCUCAGUUUGAUGUACUGGCCAUUAUGUAUUAGGAAAAGAGUGAAAGUGGAUUCUGUUUGACAUUUAUCUGUGUGUCAGAUGCUCACAGAGGCACAGAACAUGUUCUGAGGCUUGUGGCCGGGGGUCAGGGCCUGGAAGUCUUUUUGGCAUGGUGAGCAGCCUGGCCCUCCGCCCCAGUGCUUCUGCAGCAAACCUCUCCCUGGGACCCACGAAGGACACUGACAAUUGGCGCCCUGAUUACUAAUGAAGUACUUAAUCUUCUGAGAGCCCAGAACAGCAAGGACAUCAUUGUAAAAGCCUGAAGCCUGAGUACCAAUCCAUUCCUGGGAUCCUCUCUUACCAAGAAAAAUUGCUUGAUGGUGUCAAAGAACACAAGCCCACGAAACGUGAUCACGUCUACACUGAGACUUUCCAAUCAAUCAAUUAGAAGAAGGACACCUGAGGAUGGCAGCCUUGGACAGGCAGCAUUUCAGUUCUAGGCAGGAGACCACCAACAGUCCGGCCCCGUCGUUGGCAGGAACCUGCUUCGCUCAGGAGGCUGGAAGCAGAAGCUUAACGGAGUUGGCCACUCAGGGUUGCUGAAGAAAGUGAAAUGCUAAGUAGCCAUCAGAAUUGUCUCAAUCUUGCCCAGGGCGACUGUCCAGCCUAUUUUAGAGGAGGGAGUCCAUUUUUCUUUUGAAGAGGAGGGUUUUAGAGUCUACUGCCUUCCUUCCAAGCCUGGCGGACACGGUGGACGUAAGACUAGCCCCUGCCUGUGCUGGCAAGCCUGAUGUGGGAGUCGGGGGUGCUCCUCAUCAUUCCCAGUCUUCCUGCUGCCCCGACUGGACCAGCCUUUUCCAGAGUCUAGAGGGCGUCCUGUGAAUGGUCCCUUGACUGUAGACGUGGUGAUCCACCGGGCAGGGUGUAUGGAGGUAAGCUAGCUGACCCACGGCAGGAGAGCACCUGUUGUCUUUCCCAACUCAACUCUGUGCCAACUGGGGGAUCCCUGCCUCACGGUCCUCUACUUCCAGACAACUGCCUAAACGGCACCCGGGAUGUGGGGGGUUCUGAUCUUGUCCCGCGCCAGACUGAGGUGGGGGAGAGGGAAAGGAGAGAGAGGGAUGACGCUUCCUCACAGAGUGGGGCUGAGCAGGCAGAGCUGGCCGGCCUAUUUGGGAGAUCACAUGCCUCCCUGCCAUGCUAUCCCACGA